AGAGUUUGAUCCUGGCUCAGGACGAACGCUGGCGGCGUGCUUAACACAUGCAAGUCGAGCGGUAAGGCCCUUCGGGGUACACGAGCGGCGAACGGGUGAGUAACACGUGGGUGACCUGCCCCCUACUCUGGGAUAAGCCUGGGGAACUGGGUCUAAUACCGGAUAUGACCUUCGAUUGCAUGAUCGUGGGUGGAAAGUUCUUCGGUGGGGGAUGGGCCCGCGGCCUAUCAGCUUGUUGGUGGGGUGACGGCCUACCAAGGCGACGACGGGUAGCCGGCCUGAGAGGGCGACCGGCCACACUGGGACUGAGACACGGCCCAGACUCCUACGGGAGGCAGCAGUGGGGAAUAUUGCGCAAUGGGCGGAAGCCUGACGCAGCGACGCCGCGUGGGGGAUGACGGCCUUCGGGUUGUAAACCUCUUUCGGCCCCGACGAAGCGUGAGUGACGGUAGGGGUAGAAGAAGCACCGGCCAACUACGUGCCAGCAGCCGCGGUAACACGUAGGGUGCGAGCGUUGUCCGGAAUUAUUGGGCGUAAAGAGCUCGUAGGCGGUGUGUCGCGUCGGCCGUGAAAACCUGCAGCUUAACUGUGGGCUUGCGGUCGAUACGGGCAUCACUGGAGUUCGGCAGGGGAGACUGGAAUUCCUGGUGUAGCGGUGAAAUGCGCAGAUAUCAGGAGGAACACCGGUGGCGAAGGCGGGUCUCUGGGCCGAUACUGACGCUGAGGAGCGAAAGCGUGGGGAGCGAACAGGAUUAGAUACCCUGGUAGUCCACGCCGUAAACGUUGGGCGCUAGGUGUGGGGGCCAUUCCACGGUCUCUGUGCCGUAGCUAACGCAUUAAGCGCCCCGCCUGGGGAGUACGGCCGCAAGGCUAAAACUCAAAGGAAUUGACGG
rnacentral:rRNA from 1 species